rnacentral:rRNA from 1 species
UGGGGGAUAUUGCACAAUGGGCGAAAGCCUGAUGCAGCGACGCCGCGUGGGGGAUGAAGUCCUUCGGGUUGUAAACUUCUUUUGCUCUGAACAAGGCAUGCUCAUGGGUGUGUUGAGUGUAGGGGUUGAUUAGCGCCGGCUAACUACGUGCCAGCAGCCGCGGUAAUACGUAGGGCGCGAGCGUUGUCCGGAAUUAUUGGGCGUAAAGGGCUUGUAGGUGGCUGGUUGCGUCUGUCGUGAAAGCUCAUGGCUUAACUGUGGGUUUGCGGUGGGUAAAGGCUGGCUUGAGUGCAGUAGGGAUGGCUGGAAUUCCUGGUGUAGCAGUGGAAUGCGCAGAUAUCAGGAGGAAUACCGGUGGCGAAGGCGGGUCUCUGGGCUGUUACUGACACUGAGGAGCGAAAGCAUGGGGAGCGAACAGG